rnacentral:lncRNA from 1 species
GUCUUUUUAGGGCCGCACCCACGGCAUAUGGAGGUUCCCAGGCUAGGGGUCCAACUGAAGAUCCAGCUGCUGGUCUACACCACAGCCAAAGCAACAUGGGAUCCGAGCUGCGUCUGCGACCUACUCCCCAGCUCCCGGCAAUGCCAGCUUCUUUAACCCACUGAGCAUGGCCGGGGAUCAAACCUGCAACCUCAUGGUUCCUAGUCAGAUUCGUUUCUGCUGCGCCACAAUGGGAAAGCCGUCUUUCAUCCACCUUUAAUGAGGAAAACGGAACAGACUGUUCCCAGCAGGAUGGACACGUCUCAUCCGUGAAGCAGGUGGCGGAGAGAUGAGACAAGAACGUCCCAAUUCUGAGCAUGACACGAAACCGAUUCUGAUGGAACAUCGGGAUUCGGAGACCUGACUUAGAGGGUCAGAGGCCUCGUUUCUAGAACUGGGGGAUGCUCCUUUCCUGCCUCCCUGCAUCCGUCACUUAUGUAACUACCGUCUCGCGAGGCGCAGUGGUGCCAGUUCUCAGGACGACGGCUUCUGUCCUUGAGCUUGGCCAUCUCGAGAACCUUCCAGUUGAAAGUGCCCAUCAACAGGGCCUAUGAUUUCCGUGAACUCCAAAGCAAAUGUUAUCUCUCUCUUUUUCACACACGGACAAACAUGUUUGUAUGAGACGGAAAAAGAACACAGUCAGCUCACGUCGAACAGCUACGCAGUGACGCCAACGGAAGAGCUUGCGAUGGACGGCGUGGGCGCUCCUGGAUUAUUUCUCCGUUUGAGGUAUUUCUUCCCCUACUCUAGCCUACCUGGGGCUCCACUUUUCCCACAGAAGUUCCUUCUUCUACAGGGAGACUCUCCCUUCGGCCGGGAGAGCACGUUGAUAAAGGGAUAAAGGAAGGCAGACAGGGAUUCUGAGGACCUGCUUCCAGUCCCACCCCGAGGUCACAGUGUGAGACCCAGGGACCUGCCAUCCACGUGGUCUUUCCUCCUCCUGCCAGGAGAACCCCACGGAUUCUAACGCCAGCCGAAAUGACAGACCACCUUCGAGGGUCUCUGAAUACCUCAUUCUCACAAAGCUGGAUGCCCUAACGCUUCCACGUCCGUCGUAGAAACAAUGCGGGCAUCACAGCUAAUCUGAUGAGCACACACAGCUCCCGGGCAUCAGAAGGUCAUUAGAAACAGGAGGAUGUUUGAGCAACGUGGACGUAACUCUUUGGCGAUUACUGUGACACUGAGCGGGAGCUGGCUCCCUGAACGACGCCCCCUCGCUGGCACGCGUUUUCCUUUCACGGGCAGGAGUGUUCGGCUCUAAGUCGCCAGGCUGAUUCAUUCACGCCCCCGUUCACUCUUGUCCAUUUCCUGACUGUGGACCUGCAACUUGCACAUCAAGGCUCCAGCACUGGGGUCUGACAAGCACAGGCUUACUCCCCACCUGGAUAUUCGUGGGAUCUGGAUGCAAUUCCCACCGAAGACCUGCUCCCUCCCACGCUUUUAGUUAUUUAUUUUUUUAAACAGUUGGGCAGUUUUUUUAUACAAACAUACACCGACUCCGUGAACCAACAAUUCUUUUUUGUAUGUGCAAAACACUACAUUUUUUUUGUCCAACUUCUGAUUAGUUUUAUUUUUUGAAUGAUUUUUAGUCUUUCCAUUAUAGCUGGCUGACAGUGUUCUGUCCGUUUUCUACUGUACAGCAAAGGGACCCAGUCACACAUACACGUAUACAUUCUUUUUCUCACAUUAUCGUCCAUCCUGCUCCAUUGUAAGGGACUAGAUGCAGCAGGAUCUCAUUGCUCAUCCACUCCAAAGGCAAUACUUUGCAUCUAUGAACCCCAGAUUCCCGGGGCAUCCCACUCCCUCCCUGUCUUCCUUGGUUUUUUAGUUUUAUUCAAGUACAGGCGAUUUACAAGCUGUGGUAAUUUCUGCUCUACGACAGAGUGAUUCAGUUACACGGAGACACACGUCCAUUCUGUGUCGUAUUCCUUUCCCACACACAGCAUCACAGAACACUGGGCAAAGUUCCCUGUGCUACAUGGCAGGUCCCCGUUGGCCAGGCAUCCCAUACACCUCAGUGUGCAUGGCUUAAACCCUUGGUCCAUCCCACUUUCCCAGUGAGUAAGUCAAGGUUCUUGUAUAAGAUAUUAUAUAGGCCACGGGAGUUCCCAUCGUGGCUCAGUGGUUAGCGAAUCCGACUAGGAACCAAGAGGUUGCGGGUUCAAUCCCUGGCCUCGCUCAGUUGGUUAAGGAUCCGACGUUGCCAUGAGCUGUGGUAGGGACGCCCGUGUGAGGCGAGAACAGGUCAGGAGAACCCCGGAGGGAUCCCGGGAUCAGGGCUACCCAAGUCACGACGAGUCCAAUCACCUGGGGACAGCUCGGUUACCCGAGCAGGUCCACCGUCCCUACCGUGCAACCCAAUCGGCUGGGUUUUCUGUAACUUGCAACACGUGGUCUGCCUGGUCUGCUUACACCAACACACUGGGACCCGUCCUGUCAGCCACGCCGCCCUGCCCUGGAGCUCUGCCCUGGACAGCAGUCAGUAUGUGGGACACCCCUGAGCUAAAGGAUGUCCUGGGGCUGGGACAGGGUC